GCCCAGGUAGCUCAGUUGGUAGAGCAGGGGAUUGAAAAUCCCCGUGUCGGCGGUUCGACUCCGUCCCUGGGCACCA
rnacentral:tRNA from 2 species